rnacentral:lncRNA from 1 species
CGCCUGGUGUGGACCGUGCAGGCUGCAACGCGGCAGAAUCGAGUGGAGCACCUGGUGCCCGCCUUCCUGGAUGGCGACACCGCCUACGUCCGCAGCUUCCUGUGCACGUACAGAGGUUUUGCCACCACACAACAGGUGCUGGAGCUUCUGUUUCAAAGCCUCUGCCUCAUCCCUCACCGCCCCGGGAAUUGGACUGAGUUGUCGUCUUCCGAUUGGAAAAGGAGACGGGAGAGCCCUUCUAGGUCCCUGACCUGGGUGAAGCCAGAGCAGCCAUCCCUGGGCUGAGCCGAGGCCCCCGACCCGCCCAAGCAGGAGUGAGGGGCCGGUUGGAGCUCCCUCCUUCAUCACACACAGAGAGAGGUCCCCACUAGGUGCAGAACGUUUUCUAGGCACCGACCAUAAUCCCGUGCACAGAGCGGGCGGCAGCCGUGCCCUCCAGGGCUCCAUUCUCGUCGGGAGUCAGACAGCGCCGCUAGGCUUCUCAGGCAGGCCUGAUCCACCGUCCAGUCCGUGUGACGUCCUCCUGUGUCUUCCUGAUAGGGUUGCGUCCUUCCUUACUGCGAUGAGGACGGCGGACCCCUGGACCAACUGAAAAAGGCCAUCUCCUUCAUUCUGGGCACCUGGCUCCAACGGUACCCUGAGGAUUUUAUCCAGCCCCCAGAUGUUCCCAGCCUGGAAAUGCUCUUGGCCUACGUUGGUCUUAAUAUGCCUGUCUCGGAGCUGGAGCACCGUGCCCGCGUUCUUCUUUCCCAGCUGGAGCACCCUGAGCACACUGAUGCCGAGACUGAGGCUGAGGAGGACGUGGGCGUGUGCAGAGGGGAUGGCGCUGCGCCCCCCAGAGCAGAGUCUCCAGAGGCUGGGGUUCGGCUGGGAGCAAGGGGCGGGCUCAGAUCACUCUUCCCGCGGACUCCACUCUGGGAAGCCUUUCGGGGGCUUGGUUCUUGGACUGAGACUCCUUGAUUGGCGGCAGAGGCUUCCUUCCUUUGGAGAGACUUGGGCAGGCGGUCAUGUGGUGGCAUUUUCUCUUCUUCCCUCUCCAGCUGCAGCUCCACCGAAAGAUCCAGAAGACCCUGCA